UCAGUAACCUAAACACAUCUGUGCUACAAUAAAAAGUCACAGCGGAAAACUAUCUGGUUAUGAAACACCAAUUUUGGACUGGAUUUGUUUGACAACUUUCCAAAACAAACUUUUCCCUCGUGUGACAUUGAGAUAACUCUACUAAAAUGAUGACCUAUGUCACAAUGGGGUUUGUAUACAUGCUAACAAUUCCUCAGAUUUAUAAUGGUGGCCUGUCUCCUGUUAUAUGCUUCAAUAAAGUCUCCACUCUUUUUUACAAUGAUAGGUAAAAUGCACAUCUAAUUAUACCACAUGACGGCCCAUUUCCUCUCAGAGAUUGAGUACAAACACAACGUACAAUUUUAAUAGGUGCUCUUGUUAUGAAGCCAGACUUAUGCUUUCUUUUUCCUUUGUGAAUGUGUCUGCAUGUAAGUGUGUGAUGGGUUGCAGGUGUGCUCGCUUGAUUGAAUGACGUGUGUGAGUGUCUCGGUGGAUCCUGGCAGCUGAUUGGUUCUGUAAAAGGAGGUUUCUGUAUAAGAGAUAAGUAUCCAGAUCAUUUUGAGCUUGUUUUAAAAUGUGUUUGCAUUCAAUCGUGGGUUAAAAUAGUUUUUUUGACCAGUGGGAAUGUGUGUAGUCAGUAUUGGGUCAAAUGGCUACAGAAGCAGCAUGUGGGUUUUUAUCAGCUCUGGCUCCGAUCGCCAUUAGUGGGAAUGCAAGACUAGACUAAAGGUGCUCAUUUCUCUUGUAGUGAUGCAGAUUCUGACGUCAUUUAUCUUCUAGUCCAGGAAUGGUGUUUAUCUGCUUUUAAAAAACUGGGUUAAAAUAUCCCAGAUAAACCUAAUUCUGUUGUGCUAUAGUGUGGUGCAAAGCAGCUUUUCCAUAUGUCUCACUCUCUGUAGAAUCUUUUAGAUUAAAGAGGUCCUUAGGUGCAGCUUUUACCCUCUUGUCCUUGAUCACUGAUAUGUGAUUUGCUGGCAGAAUGAAGCAGAUUACCACAUGAGUCUUCACAGUCAGAGUUGCCCUUGGCUUGACGGGCUUAAUCAAGCAACAUGUCUCUGAGUUUAGGUCCUGUGUGUGUGUGUGUGUGUGUGUGUGUGUAUACCCACCAAUGUAUAUGUAUGCCCACACAUUCUCAACAUGGAAGUGUAAAAAAGAGAGAGAUCGUGUGUGGGUGGGAUACAUUUUGACAAAGUUCCCUAUUUUUCAGAAAUAAUCACUUGUUCCCUUUACAGAGACAAAGUUGUGUGACUCCGGGGCUGCUGGGAAGGCAAAGCCAUAAUAAAUAAAAAACUGUCUGUCUCUGUCUUUCUCUCUCUCUCCGUCUGUCUCUCUUUGCCUCUACCACUCCUGGAGCAUCAGACUCUUGUUCUUGUGGCCACUAACAAGGGGGUGUGGCUGUCACUGGAGGCGUCCGGGGCUAAAUUACCAUAUUAAUUAGCUCAUCCUUUGACCGACAAACACAGAACUGAAAUGUCACCACACUCACAUUGGCCAGAGGAAACACAAUUAGUUCAUCCUAAUGCUUGGUGUGUCUAUUUGUGAGGGCCAGAGGAAGCACGCGAAGGAAGCGGAGGAGGUGUUGCCUUUGGAAACGUUUGGAUGACAGUUUUCAAAAAGGCUUGCAUCACCUCUCCGUGUAACCUGAAGAAAGAUAUGAAACGAUGCAACGUUGCUGUAGUCCGGUGGUGGCGGUGCUGGUGGUCUGGUGGUGGCAUCCUCCCGUCUUGUCUUGCUGUGUACCUGGGAGCGGGUUUUUCGUCACUGAGAGUGUCUGCCACGUGUGCCUGGUGAUUUUUGCCUUCGUCCAUUCACUUUUGCCUCAGCCCGGAUUAGGUUUUUCCCCCUUUUUUGUUGGUAUGAAUGAGUUUCAUUGAAAUUUUAGCAUUAAUGUUUAAUAAAAAUGAUAUAAUAACUUGGAA